AAUGGGGGAAACCCUGACCCAGCAACGCCGCGUGAAGGAAGAAGGCUUUCGGGUUGUAAACUUCUUUUACCAGGGACGAAACAAAUGACGGUACCUGGAGAAAAAGCUCCGGCUAACUACGUGCCAGCAGCCGCGGUAAUACGUAGGGAGCAAGCGUUGUCCGGAUUUACUGGGUGUAAAGGGCGUGUAGGCGGAGAUGCAAGUCAGAUGUGAAAUCUGGGGGCUCAACCCCCAAACUGCAUUUGAAACUGUAUCCCUUGAGUAUCGGAGAGGCAGGCGGAAUUCCUAGUGUAGCGGUGAAAUGCGUAGAUAUUAGGAGGAACACCAGUGGCGAAGGCGGCCUGCUGGACGACAACUGACGCUGAGGCGCGAAAGCGUGGGGAGCAAA
rnacentral:rRNA from 1 species